AAUACUAUUUUAAAAAAUUUUAAUAAUAAAAUAUUAAAUAUAGUUCUUAACUGAGAGGAAAAAAAAAAAGAGCGAAGAGCGACAGUAGAAGGGUUGAAGAAAAGGUUUGGUUGUCGGUGUACAGAGGGCUCCGCUGCCUUUUGAUAGUGGCAGCUCCUAUUUGUGUUUUGAGAAUCGUAGGUAAGUGCAGCGCUUUGCUUUUGAACAUCUUUUUUUGUUGUUUUGAGUUGUUGUGAGGGUCUGUCUUUUGGGCUUUGGCUGCGAGGCAUUUAUCGGAAUAUGGUCAGAGAUCAGUGAUAAUCCUCGUGUUUGUAUUCCUUCAGACUAUAUUAGACUGAAAUUGUUAUGGGUUGAUCUCUGAUCUGUGAAUUGCGUUAUUGUACACAG
rnacentral:lncRNA from 1 species